AUUGAACGCUGGCGGCAUGCCUUACACAUGCGAGUCGAACGGUAACGGGCCUUCGGGUGCCGACGAGUGGCGAACGGGUGAGUAAUGUAUCGGAACGUACCUUUCAGUGGGGGAUAACGUAGCGAAAGUUACGCUAAUACCGCAUAUUCUGUGAGCAGGAAAGCAGGGGAUCGCAAGACCUUGCGCUGAUUGAGCGGCCGAUAUCAGAUUAGCUAGUUGGUGAGGUAAAGGCUCACCAAGGCGACGAUCUGUAGCGGGUCUGAGAGGAUGAUCCGCCACACUGGAACUGAGACACGGUCCAGACUCCUACGGGAGGCGGCAGUGGGGAAUUUUGGACAAUGGGGGCAACCCUGAUCCAGCCAUGCCGCGUGAGUGAAGAAGGCCUUCGGGUUGUAAAGCUCUUUCGGCCGGGAAGAAAUCGUAUCAGCUAAUACCUGGUGCGGAUGACGGUACCGGCAUAAGAAGCACCGGCUAACUACGUGCCAGCAGCCGCCGUAACAC
rnacentral:rRNA from 1 species